UAGUCCACGCCGUAAACGAUGGGUACUAGGCGUCGGGGGGAGCGACCCUUUCGGUGCCGCAGCUAACGCAGUAAGUACCCCGCCUGGGGAGUACGGCCGCAAGGCUGAAACUCAAAGGAAUUGACGGGGGCCCGCACAAGCGGUGGAGCAUGUGGUUUAAUUCGAUGCAACGCGAAGAACCUUACCUGGGCUUGACAUGUACGUGAAACUUCGUGGAAACACGGAGCCCUCUUCGGAGCACGUAUACAGGUGCUGCAUGGCUGUCGUCAGCUCGUGUCGUGAGAUGUUGGGUUAAGUCCCGCAACGAGCGCAACCCUCGCUCCCAGUUACCAGCGGAUUAUGCCGGGGACUCUGGGGGGACUGCCGGUGUCAAACCGGAGGAAGGUGGGGAUGACGUCAAGUCAGCAUGGCCCUUACGUCCAGGGCUACACACGUGCUACAAUGGCCGGUACAACGCGUCGCGAACUCGCGAGGGUAAGCUAAUCACUAAAAGCCGGUCCAAGUUCGGAUUGCAGUCUGUAACUCGA
rnacentral:rRNA from 1 species